AGAAUACAUAACUGUGAGAGAUUUGAUCUGCUGGCGGAUAUUGGUACUUGGACUGCUUGAGCUGUGGAAGAGAGAAUACAUAGCCAUGAGAUUGAGAGGAAUGAUCUAAGGAUCUCCUGGAAUCUGAAGGAGAAUCCAAGCGUGAUGAAGGGGGUUUAGGAGCGGGCUUUGGAGGUGGUGAAGAUGAAGAGUAGUGCAUGUUGAUUGGUGUUGGAAUCAAGAUGGAUUGAUUUUGUUCUUCUUCUUCUUCUUCUUCUUCUGGUAGUCGUUGGUUAUGGUCAUUUUCUUCGAGUUGGUGGUGGUGUUGCUGGUCAUUUUCUUGGUUUUUCAUGAUUUCUUGGAUUUACAGUGAGCAGUGAAGGAGAUGAAAAGUUGG
rnacentral:misc_RNA from 1 species